UUGAAUAUUAGGAUUAGAUUGUUGCUGGCUUUAUUGCAUGUGCACAUCUAACUUAUACACACACUUGUGAACCUAUUGUAGAUCGCGAGAUCUAUGUCUUUCAUCAUCACAUAUCAUUGUAUGUCUAUAGAAUGUAAAUAAUAAUAAUA
rnacentral:misc_RNA from 1 species